UUUUCUACGAAACAUAUUUAAGUAUGACAUCUACCUACCCUAUGAAAAAUUAGGGAAGUUUUUCCUUUAUUUAAGAAUUGGAAAAAUUUAUAGAUUUAUGGAGGUACAGCAAGGCAAUUCCCAACAAGUAAAAUUUACUAUCUAGUUGCGGAACCGCUACUACAUUAAAUUUUAUGCGUUUAGGUUGCGGGGACCUAGAAAAUCUUACCUUUGGAAGCGAAUCUCGGAAUUACAUAAAUUGAUGGUAGAUAUUCAGACUGCUCAAGCUAAGUUGGGCAGUCAAAACGGAAACAGCCGAGAACACUGAUCAAGGUCCCAAAUGAAUGUUAAGUGAAAUUAAGGACGUAUGAAUAUCGUAUACAGCUGUGAAGUGAGCCUGGCAGUCGCUACUUAUAAUGAACGUAUGUAACAACGCAUCAGCAGUCUUUAAUAUCAGCAACCCUGCUUUAAGGCAGGGGGGGUAUUAAUUUAUAGAUACUAGCGCCGAAAAUUUAACGGG
rnacentral:ncRNA from 1 species